UGGGGAAUAUUGCACAAUGGGCGAAAGCCUGAUGCAGCGACGCCGCGUGGGGGAUGACGGCCUUCGGGUUGUAAACCUCUUUCAGCAAGGAAGAAGCGAAAGUGACGGUACUUGCAGAAGAAGCGCCGGCUCACUACGUGCAAGCAGCCGCGGAAAUACGUCGGGCGCAAGCGUUGUCCGGAAUUAUUGGGCGUAAAGGGCUUGUAGGUGGCUUGUCGCGUCUGCCGUGAAAACUCGAGGCUUAACCGUGGGUGUGCGGUGGGUACGGGCAGGCUAGAGUGCGGUAGGGGAGAGUGGAAUUCCUGGUGUAGCGGUGAAAUGCGCAGAUAUCAGGAGGAACACCAGUGGCGAAGGCGGGUCUCGGGGCGGUUACUGACGCUGAGAAGCGAAAGCAGGGGGAGCAAACAGG
rnacentral:rRNA from 1 species